rnacentral:rRNA from 1 species
AGAGUUUGAUUCUGGCUCAGAACGAACGCUGGCAGCGUGGAUUAGGCAUGCAAGUCGAACGGGAAGCCGUUGAUCAAUUCUUCGGAAGAGUGAUUCGGUGGAGAGUGGCGGAAGGGUGAGUAACGCGUGGGCAAUCUACCUCCAAGUUGGGGAUAAUUCCGCGAAAGCGGGACUAAUACCGAAUGUGGUCGUAUGUCGCAUGGCAGACUGACUAAAGGUGGGGAUCCUUCGGGACCUGCCGCUGGAUAGGAGCCCGCGUGCCAUCAGCUUGUUGGUGAGGUAACGGCCCACCAAGGCUUACGGCUAGCUGGUCUGAGAGGAUGAUCAGCCACACUGGGACUGAGACACUGCCCAGACUCCUACGGGAGGCUGCAGUCGAGGAUCAUUGUCAAUGCGCGGAAGCGUGAACAUGCGACGCUGCGUGGAGGAUGACGGCUUUCGGGUUGUAAACUCCUGUCAUGAGGGAAAAACGGUCCCGCAAUCAAUACCUGCGGGACGUGAUGGUACCUCAAGAGGAAGCCACGGCUAACUCUGUGCCAGCAGCCGCGGUAAUACAGAGGUGGCGAGCGUUGUUCGGAUUUACUGGGCGUAAAGGGUGCGUAGGCGGCUUCGUGUGUCGGAUGUGAAAUCCCACGGCCCAACCGUGGAACUGUGUUCGAAACUGCGGAGAUAGAGUGCAGGAGAGGAGAGCGGAAUUCUUGGUGUAGCGGUGAAAUGCGUUGAUAUCAAGAAGAACACCGGUGGCGAAAGCGGCUCUCUGGAAUGUUACUGACGCUGAGGCACGAAAGCUGGGGGAGCGAACAGGAUUAGAUACCCUGGUAGUCCCAGCUGUAAACGGUGUGCACUUGGUGUGGGAGGUAUUGACCCCUUCCGUGCCGGAGCUAACGCGUUAAGUGCACCGCCUGGGGAGUACGGCCGCAAGGCUAAAACUCAAAGAAAUUGACGGGGGCCCGCACAAGCGGAGGAGCAUGUGGCUUAAUUCGAUGCAACGCGAAGAACCUUACCAGGGCUUGACAUCUACCUGCAUGCCCCCUGAAAGGGGGGAGGCCUUCGAGGGUGGUAGACAGGUGCUGCAUGGCUGUCGUCAGUUCGUGCCGUGAGGUGUUGGGUUAAGUCCCGCAACGAACGCAACCCUUGUGGUUAGUUGCAACUGCAGGUGAUAAGCCUGCGGGCACUCUAGCCAGACUGCCUGUACAAGCAGGAGGAAGGUGGGGAUGACGUCAAGUCAGUAUGGCCCUUACGCCCUGGGCUGCACACGUGCUACAAUGGUCGGUACAAAAGGAUGCAAUACCGCGAGGUGGAGCUAAUCCCCAAAACCGGCCCCAGUUCGGAUUGGAGUCUGAAACUCGACUCCAUGAAGCCGGAUUCGCUAGUAACGGCGUAUCAGCUACGGCGCCGUGAAUACGUUCCCGGGCCUUGUACACACCGCCCGUCACAUCAUGAAAGCCGUCUGCACCCGAAGUCGCUGAGCCAAUCCUUUACGGGAAGGCAGGUGCCGAAGGUGUGGGUGGUG